rnacentral:rRNA from 1 species
GACGAACGCUGGCGGCGUGCUUAACACAUGCAAGUCGAACGGACAGGCCCUGCUUUUGUUGGUUGCUCGAGUGGCGAACGGGUGAGUAAAACGUGAGUAUCCUGCCCUUGACUUUGGGAUAACUUCAGGAAACUGGGGCUCAUACCCGAUAUGAGCUCCUGCUGCAUGGUGGGGGUUGGAAAGUUUCGGCGGUUGUGGCUGGAUUGGCGGCUUAUGAGCUUGUUUGUGGGGUAGUGGCUUACCAAGGCUUUGACGGGUAGCCGGCCUGAGAGGGUUACCGGGGACAAUGCGACUAAGGGAGGGCGCAGAAGGGAACGGGAGGCAACGGGGGGGAGUAUGACAGAACGGGGGCGAGUGAGUGACAGAGACGUUGGGAGCGGGAUAACGGGCUUUGAGGGGUGAACAGAUGUGGAAGGUAACAAAGAGGGAGUGACGGUAAUGGGUAAAGAAGCAACGGCUAACUACGUG